GUUGAGUGAGAGAGAAGAAGUAGAAGAUGUUAGGAAAGGAAGAAUCCAACAUGCUGUUGACGAUGCUCAAAGCCGGAGAUCAUCGUCCGUUUGAUGAGAUCGUCGCCGACUUCAUAUCCAGUUUCCCUCCCCAUCGACAAUUUUAUACCUGCUUCUCCCUCGCCUUAAUACUUGACGAAAAACUUCUUAAACCAGCACAGAGAUUAGUUGCUUUUGCAAUUCUUCUGCAGGUUUAUUCCUCUCAAGAGCCUUCUUCAAAUCCAUUCAUUUCGUUGCUGGUAAAUGCAGCCUGUGAUGAAGGAGCUGAACAAUGUGAAAGGGCUUUUAUUCUUCAGUUGUUAAGCUCAGCCAGCUCAACCAGUAGCAGAGAGGUUCUUAAACAAUCGGCAACAGAUUACAUGAAAAUGUUCGAUACUUCACAACUUUCUU
rnacentral:misc_RNA from 1 species